rnacentral:ncRNA from 2 species
UUCAAUAGUUUAGUUAUAGGUGCCCUUUAAUUGAGGGUGAAUAGGGAACCGGGUGAGAAUCCCGGGCGGACCCACCACUGUAUAGAGGAGACUUAUGCAUUUGCCACUGGGAAACCGGGAAGGCGCAUACUGUCGGUGAUUCUAAGUCAGGAGACCUGCCUAUAAUGUUGGAUUCAU